AUGCCUAAAACUCUCUUUAACAAAAGCAUUACCUUUACUGCCGAGCCGGAUGCCCUGAUUUGGCAGCUGGACAAUAAGGGGAAGUAUUCCUCGAGCUCCCUCUAUCAUGUUAUCAACUUUAGAGGGGUUCAACCCGUGUUUAUCCCUGCUGUUUGGAAAUUGAGAGUUCCCCCUAAAAUUCAUGUAUUUCUCUGGCUUCUCUCCAAAAACAAAUUGAUAACUAGGGAUAACCUUAGGAAGAGACACAUCAUCAAACCCCUUGAUUGUGUUUACUGCUUGGAACAAGAGUCUUGUUCUCACCUAUUUUUUGAAUGUAUAGUUGCUAAACAUCUCUGGGCCCACAUUGAGGAAUAUUUCUCUAGUCAGAUUGGCUCAUCCUUCGAAUCUGUCACCAGAUUCUGGAUUGCUACCAAAAAGUGCUCAAUUUUAAACACUGUUAGCUCAGCUGUCCUUUGGUGCCUCUGGAAAUAUAGAAAUGCUAUGAUUUUCAGUAACACCUCCUGGAUUUCCAUUCUGCAGGUCUUGAGGUUGAUCAGGAACAUGGUGAGGAACUGGGCGAUUCUCUCCUCCGGAUCGGACAAGGACAAGUUGAUGAGCUUCGUGGAAACCCUAACAAGAUCCCUCCAAAAACCGUUGGCGAUCACUUGUGGCUGA
rnacentral:rRNA from 1 species